rnacentral:tmRNA from 1 species
GGGGACGACACGGCUUCGACGGGAGUUGCAAAGUCCUGGUUGCAUGUAGAGGUGCCGAGGCCUCUUAAAAAACGGCACAACUUGUAAUUGGCAACGAUUACGCUAUGGCAGCUUAAUUUAAGCUUCCCGAUCUCCUUAACUUCGCUCAAGAGUUAAGAUAGAUCGUCAUUUUUUGAGCUAGUCUUUAACGUCUCAUAGGUGCGUUACAGGCGAAACUUAAGUCUAUGGAGAUGAUUUGUAGUUUGUUUGUGGACGCCUCAUCAUCUUACAAAAACACAAACUAAACAUGUAGAAGCUAGAGAUAGAGUACUUUCGGACCCGGGUUCAACUCCCGGCGUCUCCACCA